rnacentral:rRNA from 1 species
AGAGUUUGAUCCUGGCUCAGAGCGAACGCUGGCGGCAGGCCUAAAACAUGCAAGUCGAACGAAUCCUUCGGGGUUAGUGGCGGACGGGUGAGUAACACGUGGGAACGUGCCUUUUGGUUCGGAACAACUCAGGGAAACUUGAGCUAAUACCGAAUGUGCCCCCUUCUUUAGCGAGGAGGGUGGGAAAGAUUUAUCGCCAUUAGAGCGGCCCGCGUCUGAUUAGCUAGUUGGUGAGGUAAAGGCUCACCAAGGCUACGAUCAGUAGCUGGUCUGAGAGGAUGAUCAGCCACACUGGGACUGAGACACGGCCCAGACUCCUACGGGAGGCAGCAGUUAGGAAUCUUGCGCAAUGGGCGAAAGCCUGACGCAGCCAUGCCGCGUGAAUGAUGAAGGUCUUAGGAUUGUAAAAUUCUUCAGCGGG